CGGCGAUGUAACUUUAGUGGCGGACGGGUGAGUAACACGUGAGAAUUUACCUUUAGGAGGGGAAUAACAGUUGGAAACGACUGCUAAUGCCGCAUAUCAUAAAUAUGAAAGAAGAAAUUCGCCUAAAGAAAAGCUUGCGUCUGAUUAGCUAGUUGGUAAGGGUAAUGGCCUACCAAGGCGACGAUCAGUAGCUGGUUUGAGAGGAUGAUCAGUCACACUGGAACUGAGACACGGUCCAGACUCCUACGGGAGGCAGCAGUGGGGAAUUUUCUGCAAUGGGCGAAAGCCUGACAGAGCAAUACCGCGUGAGGGAAGAAAGCCCACAGGGUUGUAAACCUCUUUUGUCAAGGAAGAAGUUCUGACGUUACUUGACGAAUAAGCAUCGGCUAACUCCGUGCCAGCAGCCGCGGUAAGACGGAGGAUGCAAGUGUUAUCCGGAAUCACUGGGCGUAAAGCGUUUGUAGGUGGUCUAGUAAGUCUAUUAUUAAAGCUUGAAGCUUAACUUCAAAAGUGUAAUAGAAACUACUAAACUAGAGGAUAGUAGGGGUAAAGGGAAUUUCCAGUGGAGCGGUGAAAUGCGUAGAGAUUGGAAGGACCACCGAUGGCGAAGGCACUUUACUGGGCUAUUUCUGACACUAAGAGACGAAAGC
rnacentral:rRNA from 1 species